CUCGUGUCACCAGUUCAAAUUUGGUUCCUGGC
rnacentral:tRNA from 1 species